UCCUGAUGGAGGUGAAGAGGAGUCGAAGCGGGUGGGUUCAAGUCUUGGGCACUGGAUGAAAGGGCAAUUAUCGAGGACUCCGUCGGUUUCUAGCGUGGCGUAUAGGAGUUCUGAUCUGAGGUUACUUCUUGGGGUUAUGGGUGCACCCUUGGCUCCGUUGCAUGUUAGCACUAUGGACCCUUUGCCUCACCUUAGCAUUAAAGACACGCCCAUUGAAACUUCCUCUGCUCAGUACAUAUUGCAGCAGUACACAGCGGCCUCUGGUGGGCAGAAGCUGCAGAACUCUAUCAGAAACGCAUAUGCAAUGGGAAAGGUUAAAAUGAUAGCUUCGGAAUUCGAAACGCCCACAAGGGUGGUGAAGAACCGGAAUGGUUCUAAGGGUGCUGAGUCAGGUGGGUUUGUGCUCUGGCAGAUGAAUCCUGACAUGUGGUAUGUUGAGCUUGCUGUUGGUGGUAGUAAGGUUCAUGCCGGUUGCAAUGGCAAACUUGUUUGGAGGCACACUCCAUGGCUUGGUGCUCAUACUGCAAAAGGGCCUGUCAGACCUUUGCGUCGUGCACUUCAGGGUCUUGAUCCAAAAAUCACAGCUAGUAUGUUUGCUGAUGCAAGGUGCAUCGGAGAGAAGAAGAUCAAUGGUGAGGAUUGUUUUAUACUAAAGUUAUGCGCUGAUCCUCAAACGCUCAAGGCUAGGAGUGAAGGCCCUGCAGAGAUCAUAAGGCAUGUCCUGUUUGGUUACUUUAGCCAAAAGACUGGUCUCCUUGUUCACAUGGAGGAUUCACAUCUGACCCGCAUCCAAUCUAAUGGUGGUGAUGCAGUUUACUGGGAAACAACAAUCAAUUCAUUUCUUGAUGAUUACAGACCUGUUGAAGGGAUCAUGAUUGCCCACUCUGGUCGCUCUGUGGUAACUCUUUACAGAUUUGGUGAGGUUGCAAUGAGCCAUACCAAGACAAAGAUGGAGGAAGCUUGGACUAUUGAAGAGGUUGCGUUCAAUGUUCCAGGCCUUUCAGUAGACUGUUUCAUCCCCCCUUCAGACUUAAGAUCAGGUUCCAUCAGUGAAGCUUGUGAGCUAACUCAGGAUGAAAGAGGCAAGAGUGCAAUGGCAUUAGCAGCACAUCGGGCAAAAGUUGCAGCACUAGAGAAACAACAUGAUAACAGGACAAUAUGAUAAGGAAGAUGGAGGUCAAAGUAAGGGUAGGAUUGAAUUAGGAAAAUUGUUUAUACCGUCAGCUAGUUUUAAUUAGCUAACCCCCUUUAGAAGUUGCAAGUAGGAGAUGAAAUCCAUUGUUUGUUACUUACAUAUAUUUAUCUGUUAAUCUGUAAAUAGAGCAUAAUCAUUCUCAGGUCAAACUAGGCCUGAAUGAAUCUUUAUACUCUUAAUACAGAAUCCAACUAGGGAGUUGGAGUUUGGUUUUCCAGUUAGGGAUAGAGCAAAUGGAGGUCAAUUUUUAGUUUAUCUUCCAUGCCUGGGGGAAGGCGGUGACGCUAUUAACAAAGCAGAACCAUUAACAUUUUUAUAGUUCUUCAAAUGCUUUUGCUUGAAUGCAUACAGCAGUGGCAGCAAGAAGGGAAGCUGCUACUGGCCAACAUGAGUUUAACGCUGAUGUCUAGUUUGUUCAUUUUCCUGUGUGCGAGUUUCGUACUCUUUUUGUGUGGUUGCUUAAGUGAUGUGAAAGCUGUUUCUGGGUUUUGAAGGAAUUGGAAAUCUCUGAAUCUGAUGAACGAGGGGAUCACAGAUGAGAUGUUACUAGAUUCUUCGCUGCAAUGACAAAAUUAUGCAUCUCAGCUACGAUGUAUCUGUUGGGUCGGGGGGAAGCUAAUAUGUAUCUGGUUAUUUAGUAGCAUUUGAUCAGUGCUGCUGGACAAGGAAUGUAAACAGAAAAUUUGUUGAUCAACUAUUGAAUACUUAGGAUGAAUAUAGAUAUCAGAAAUCUUUCCCCUCUCUCUUUCUCUCUCUCUUUGUGCAUAUAUAAGAAAAAGACCCCCACACCAUACCAACCCUCAUAAGCACUAGCUGCUACAUA
rnacentral:misc_RNA from 1 species